rnacentral:rRNA from 1 species
AGACAGAGGGUGCAAGCGUUAUCCGGAAUCAUUGGGUUUAAAGGGUCCGCAGGCGGAUUAAUAAGUCAGUGGUGAAAUCCUCUCGCUCAACGAGAGAACUGCCAUUGAAACUGUUAGUCUUGAAUUCGGUCGAAGUAGGCGGAAUGUGUCAUGUAGCGGUGAAAUGCAUAGAUAUGACACAGAACACCGAUAGCGAAGACAGCUUACUAGACCUGGAUUGACGCUCAUGGACGAAAGCGUGGGGAGCGAACAGGAUUAGAAACCCUAGUAGUCC